GCAGCCUCCAGAGCUGGGAAGAAGUCACCCCAGCAAAUAGUCAGGAGCCAUGGGGAGGAGGCUGAGGGCUGCACUGGGACUUCUGUGGGUACAGAUUUGCUGGGUGAAAGGGCUGCAGGUGGAGCAGAGCCCUUCAGUCCAGUGGCUCCAGGAGGGAGCUAGCUCCACCCUGUCAUGCAAUUUCUCUACCACGGUGUACAGUGUGCAGUGGUUCCGGCAGAAUCCUGGCAGUGGCCUCCUCAGCCUGUUCUUCAUGACUUCAGGGACUAAGCAGAAGGGAAGGCUACAGUCAACACUGAAUUCUAAGGACCGCUCCAGCAGCCUGCACAUCUCUGCCUCCCAGCUGGAAGACUCAGGCACCUACCUGUGUGCAGCAGAGGCACAGUGCUCCCAGACACCCUGCAGCCCAGCCCUAAAGUGCAGCUGGGCGGCAGCCCCAGCCUCUGCCUGAGGGAGGGGCACAGCAUCCAUCCCCCUACUGUUG